rnacentral:rRNA from 1 species
GACGAACGCUGGCGGCGUGCCUAAUACAUGCAAGUCGAACGCAGUGGGGACGGGGGAGUAACAAGUGGGUAACCUCCCAGCAGAGGGGAGAACACUUGGCAACAGGUGCUAAACCGAUACUGAUGGAUGGACCCGCGGGGGAUUAGCUAGUUGGUGGGGUAACGGCCCAGCAAGGCCACGAUGAAUAGCCGGCCUGAGAGGGUGACCGGCCACACUGGGACUGAGACACGGCCCAGACUCCUACGGGAGGCAGCAGUAGGGAAUCUUCGGCAAUGGACGAAAGUCUGAUCGAGCAACGCCGCGUGAGUGAAGAAGGUUUUCGGAUCGUAAAGCUCUGUUGUUAGAGAAGCGGUAUCUAACCAGAAAGCCACGGCUAACUCCGUGCCAGCAGCCGCGGUAAUUC